rnacentral:lncRNA from 1 species
AUCAUGCCACCUUGUAUGUGAUGUCAUUAGCGACGUCAUUACUUCCGCUUUCUACUUCCGGCUUUCCAGGAAUUUCGCCGAUGUCGUGCUCACGUGGUGGGUCUCUAAAGUCUACGAUUCUGUGAUUUGGUGCGCGUGGUAUUUGGUGAACUUU